rnacentral:lncRNA from 1 species
UCAUUAUCUGAAUCUAAGUCAGUGAUUGCAUUCUAAAAGAAUAUAUUAUGCAAAUGGUGUAGUAUUAUUGAGAUAAAUCUGAAAACUUUCUGAAUACAAUUUUCUAACAUAUAAAUAAAUGUAUAUGAUGAAUCUCAUCAUUGACUACUACAGAGAUAGUCCAUGUUGGAUCAGUACAAUCAAAAUCAUCAUCUGAGAUAUCUUCCAGAUCCGAACAGUUGCCAUCCUGAAUAGCUUCAAAAAUCUCUCUAGCUGUCAUAGUUUAAAAAUAUUGACUAAGAAAAUAGUAAUGGAAAAGAUACUUUACAGCCAUACUGUACUCAAAUAUGGACACAAUUUUACGAAAAUUAUUUUUACAUCAGAACAAAAUACAACGAAAAACUACAUUAUUCCUCAAAAUCGGGAUUAUAUUAUUAGCCAAAAUAAAUACGUUACUUCAAAUUUUACGAAUUACAACAUUUAUAACAAAUGCAAAAAGUGGGACUAGCUUACCUGCCGUAGCAUUUCCCGAGGAAGUCGGCAAUUUCUUGGUGAAUUUCACAAAAUUGCUGACAGAUGGCGCAUAAGCAACGAUUUUUCUUUAUUUAAAACUGUUAUCAAAAGAGGACACUGUCUUUAAAACAUACACACUGUUUAAAAGAUUAAUAUUCAUUAGCAAAUGUUAUAUACUCAAAUGAGUUAAAAGAGAACCUAAAG